CAGUAAGUCAAAAUGCGCCAAUUGUGAGAAUGCGCAUAAAAAAACCUGGUGCAACGCCUAGUCUAAAUAUACCUACUCGUGCUCCGUUGAAUGUAUUGGACGGCUCACCCCAAUUGCUGAAUUUCUCGUAAAAUCGGAUCGUCGACAUCGGUUACACAAAAUAAUUCAGGAUAUUUAGUUCGCAACGUGUAGUACUUAUCCAAUUUAGAUUUAGUCUUCUCCAAGCUGUACUUGCAGCCCCUUAGAAAAGCGACUAGGAACUGAUCGUCUGUGCGUGGAUUCAAAUGAGGCUGUUGCUCUAUCCAAAUCUUCAGUGCCUGUAGAUCUGCUUCAAUGCGAUCAGGAUCCUCGUUGAGGCGCUCCUUAGCCACUGCUUGUAGCUCGGCAGAAAUGGGGCGAAUUUGAGGUGCCAUGUUAAUUGUUGGAAAACGUCCGUGUCUGCCUCAACGAUCAAAUAUUGAACUGUGACUAUUCAUAAAUUCGUGGAGUCUACAAGUUAUAGCUGAUUUGAUUAUGCCUGUUUAUCAAUUUCUGAUAACGAUAAUUGUGUACCAUAAAACCAAUAAAAACGGACACUGUGAACUUAGUUGAUAAACUAAAUAUUUCAUCAUGUCCCUAAUGUAUAGAAUUGUAAACAUCGAAAGGUACAUAAAGGUUUAUAGCGAUUCAUCAUGUA